ACAGCGGCGCGGUUUGCGGCGGCGGCCGGGGUAGAUGGUCGCCCGUUACUUUGAGGCGACCCGGGGCGCUCCUCGCACGGCGCCGCUGCCUGCGGCCAGCACGGGCACGUGUGUGUGAAGGCGUGCGUGGGGGUGUGUGUUAAGGGGGGUUUAGAGUGGGGGAGGUCACGCCGCAGGGUAGGAAGCGGCCCCGGGGUGCGGCCCCGGCCAGGCCAUGGAGCUCAGCGGCCUUGUGCGAGCCCUGGGGUCGGAGGGGCCGCGGGACGGGUCGCAGCCGCCCCACGCUGUCCCGCCGGCCGAGCAAGUCCUGCUCCAGGUCGGGCUGCUGCUCUCCGAGGGGGCCGGCGGCGCCGCCAAGGCCGGUGUGGUCAGAGACCUGGGAGCGCUGGUCCAGGCUGCGGACUGCCGGUGGCUGUUCGGAGGCCUGAGCCCCGCCACGCUGGGUGAGGUGGUGGCUGCGCUGAACGGCUACGCAGCACCCCCAAAGCAGGAGCAAGAUGCCGCGGAUCUCCCCGGUAAGGACAGCGCGUACGCUGCCACGGCCGAGAGAGCGGCGGAGGUUGGCGCCGUGUUUCUACACCUGCUUGCGAAGCUGGAAGCUGCCAAGACCCAGGAGUCUCUGGGCGUCCCCGUGAUGGGUCCAAUCCUGUGCCGUGUGAUGGGGCCCAUCUACAUCUUUGCCGCAACGCAUAUUACGGAGCAGCCCUGGACAAACGUGAGGUCUCAGUCGGUGGCGCAGGAGCUGCUGGUGCUGCUGCCUCAGGCCGCAGGCUGCGGGUCAGUGGCUGAAUUCCUUCGGGGAAAGAAUGAAAAUGAGGAAGGAAGAUUUGCAGCAGUGAUGGGGCUCCUGAAAGAGGAGUUAACCAAAGACACUUGGAAGCGUAACCCUGCCACAAAGUUUGUGUUCUCCUGGACGCUGCCGCAUGUCACCCGGCCCUGGCUUAGCCAUCACCUGGAGCGUGUCCUCCCUCCGUCGCUGCUCAUCUCGGAUGACUACCGGGAGGAGAAUAAAAUCCUGGGUGUGCGCUGCCUACACCACAUCAUUCUCAACGUGCCAGCUGCUGAUCUGUGCCAGUUCAACAGGGCUCAGGUCGUGUACCAUGCCCUUUACAACCAUCUCUAUUCGCGAGAGGCCCCUCUCAUUCAGGCAGUACUGCUGUGCCUGCUAGACUUGCUGCCCAUCCUGGAGAGGGCCCAGCGGCAGCAGAAGCAGGCCAGACCAACCGCGCCCUGCGAUGAGGUGCUGCAGCUGGUUCUGACCCACAUGGAGGCAGAGCAUCGCCUUGCGCUGCGGCGGGUGUACGCCAGGACCCUGCCUGCCUUUGUGCAGAGGCUUGGCAUCCUGAUAGCGCGGCACCUGAAAAGGCUGGAGCGAGUUAUCCUGGGGUACCUGGAAGUCUGUGAUGGCCCCGAGGAAGAAGCUCGACUGGGAAUACUGGAGACACUGCAACGCACCAUAGAGCACGCUUGGCCCAGAAUGCCGUGCAGACUCCCUGUGCUCCUCAAAGCCCUGCUGAAGAUGAUCUGGGAUGUACACACUGACCAAGGCUCAACGCCAGAGCCGGUAAAAGCCACCUUGCUCCAGAGCGCCACGGAGUGCCUCAUCCUGCUGGAUCGGUGCUCUGAAGGGCAAGUGAAGGUCCUGCUGGCAGGCGUGUACAGCAGCUGUGAGGAGAACCGCGUACGGGAAUGCAUCAGGAAAGUGCAGGAGAACACGUGAGGCGUGGCUGAUCCCACCCCGCUUUUUGCGCAUCUGCAUUGUGCUGCUUGGGCUCCGGAGCAGUGAAUCAUCUGUCCUUUCUGGCAAGUGAAAUGGCUGCGCGUUACACAACGGCUCAUUCAAGACAGAGAUGAGUUUAUAUAAACUGCCAACAGUGGAACCAGAGAAGCUCGUGAUGAGAGUGGGCAAACCGAAGCAUAGAGAUAAAGAAGUGCCUUGAGGUCAUGAGAGCUUGUGAGAUGGGUGGCGUGCAGUUGAACUGUUGUCUAAAUCCAGACUGCUCUCAAAUCUCAGGCAGCUGGUAAUUAGCACGUACCAUCCUGUCCUGCCUGGGACUCUCUAAAUGGCCUUGUUUUACUCAGAGCUGCCUCUGCAAAACCCAUCUGGCUGCCACGGUUUCAGCCCAGCACGAUACCAUUAUCUGCCCUGCAGAAGACGGGAUUUGACAGGCUUCCCGUGCACGAAAUAGCCUUUCUUCCACCGUUAUUGCUCUUGUGGGGAGUCUGAUUCCAUACAAUUUUUUCAAUAAUGGAGAAAAGCACAUUGUAUAGCUACCACUAAGGACAUUUUCAGCUGAAAUUGGAGCAACACGCAGCCUGGGAUCACUCACCCUGUGCGGGUGAGGCUGUAUGUUUUCUUCUUUUUUAGAAUGAUAUAAGAGAUUAUUCAAUCCAUCCCGCAGCGCCAAAGCGGGACCGGUUCUAGCUGAACUAUAUCAAGCAGCUGUUCAGGAGUGAGGGCUGCAAAGCACGGCACCUACCUAGCUGCCAUUUCGGGGAGCACAUGGUUUGCAUCAUCCAGAUGGGCAAGGUGGGCUCGAGCAUGGCCACCCCCAUGUUGGAGAAGCAGAGGGCACCUGACGGGGUCAAAAGGGAGAAAUGCUCUAUUUUAGCCACCUUCUGCUGCUGUUUCAAGCAUGCACGAGUGAAUCUCUUUAAUCAUGAGACGCAGGCCCACAAAGAGGAGCGCGGCACGCACCGACAUCCGCCUUUACCUGCAGCGAUCAGGAUGUAGGGGUCUCGCAGCAGGGUGGACACCGGCGUGCCUUUGGUGCUCUGCGGGGUGGCAAAGGGGGGGGUUACGUUGGCUGAGGGCCGCGCGUGCGUUCGUGCCUGGUCGGGGAUGGGUGCCGGCACAGCCCUCCUCCCCGCGGAGCACCCGCUUCGCGCACGCCGCCCGGCACUGGCUCACGUGCACGCACACAUCUGUACUCACCUCGGGGGAGAUCUUAGAGGGCUGCAGUAUGCAGAGCUGCAAAGCUGGGAAAAAACCACUGAUGUUAGCUUACUUCUGGAGACAGCACCGCUUCAAUCCGCAUUUCCCUCUGGCUUUUCCUUCCAGCACCACCCCCUUCAUCGGCAGAGCCCCCAGGGAUGCAGUAACUGUGUUUGGGGACGUUGUUCAAGUGGGCAGAGGGAGAGGUGGGUCCCAGCCCUGCUCCCAGGGGCAGGAGCAGCAAAACUCCCUGAAGUGGACUGUGUUAGAAGUGUUUUGCCAACCCACGAAGCAGUCGAAUAUGCAAAUGCUCUCAGUCAGGCUGCCAGCUGCCUGCUGGGGAGCCACAACUAGAGCAUGACAGAAAUUAGAUGUGGAAAAGAAUAGGAUUAAAAAAGAAAGUUUCACAUGUAUGGGACCUACGUUUCAUUUUCCAAAAGCUCUUACAUGCUUCAUUAAAGAUGUCUUUGCAUUA